rnacentral:piRNA from 8 species
GUGCUCUGAAUGUCAAAGUGAAGAAAUUCA